rnacentral:rRNA from 1 species
UACGUAGGUGGCAAGCGUUGUCCGGAUUUACUGGGCGUAAAGAGCGCGCAGGCGGUCGGAUCAGUCGAAUGUGAAAGCCCCCGGCUCAACUGGGGAGGGUCAUUCGAUACUGUCCGACUCGAAGGCAGGAGAGGGAAGCGGAAUUCCCGGUGUAGUGGUGAAAUGCGUAGAUAUCGGGAGGAACACCGGUGGCGAAGGCGGCAUCCUGGACCGGCAUUGACGCUGAGGCGCGAAAGCCAGGGGAGCAAAGCGGG